rnacentral:rRNA from 1 species
GACGUAGGGGGCGAGCGUUGUCCGGAUUUAUUGGGCGUAAAGCGUGCGUAGGCGGCCAUGUAGGUCCGGUGUGAAAACUCGAGGCUUAACCUCGAGAUGUCAUCGGAAACCAUUUGGCUAGAGUCCGGAAGAGGAGAGUGGAAUUCCUGGUGUAGCGGUGAAAUGCGCAGAUAUCAGGAAGAACACCAAUGGCGAAAGCAGCUCUCUGGGACGGUACUGACGCUGAGACGCGAAAGCGUGGGGAGCGAACAGG